GACAUAUCUGGAAGGAGUUGCAAAACCUGUAAACAUCACCUCUCCCUUUGGAUUGCCUAAAACAUUACAGUUUCAUUUGAAGAAACUAGCAGGACUGGGAUCUGCCGCUUCCUACGCUGCCUCUUUGGAAGCCAAGAAGAAACUUUUAAAUUUAGGUCGUACCUUGAGAAGACUGGAUGACUUUAAAAGAAUAUUCUUGAAUCCAUCUCCAGUAGCAGAUUAUAUUUACAGACACUGGAAGACAGAUGAACUCUUUGCAACACUGUUUCUGAAUGGUUGCAAUCCAAUCCUUAUUAAAAGAUGUACCGAACUUCCACAGGCUUUUAGUGCCUUAAAAGAUGAGAAACUAGACAGCGGCAAUUCACUGUCUGCAGAAAUCAAGAAUAAGAGGGCAUAUGUGGCUGAUUACAGCAUACUGGAAGGAAUCAAGCCAAAUGUCUUAGAUGGCCAAGUACAGCAUAUCGCUGCACCAAUCUGCAUUCUGUAUGAGGACCCAUCAAAAGGACUUACUCCAGUUGCC